AACGAACGCUGGCGGCAGGCUUAACACAUGCAAGUCGAACGCCCCGCAAGGGGAGUGGCAGACGGGUGAGUAACGCGUGGGAAUCUACCCAAUUCUUCGGAACAACACAUGGAAACGUGUGCUAAUACCGGAUGAGCCCCCCUUUAUAAUGCCAGGAUGCAUAAAAUGCCCUGGCAUUAUAUGGGGGGGAAAGAUUUAUCGGAAUUGGAUGAGCCCGCGUUGGAUUAGCUAGUUGGUGGGGUAAAGGCCUACCAAGGCGACGAUCCAUAGCUGGUCUGAGAGGAUGAUCAGCCACACUGGGACUGAGACACGGCCCAGACUCCUACGGGAGGCAGCAGUGGGGAAUAUUGGACAAUGGGCGCAAGCCUGAUCCAGCCAUGCCGCGUGAGUGAUGAAGGUCUUAGGAUUGUAAAGCUCUUUCACCGGUGAAGAUAAUGACGGUAACCGGAGAAGAAGCCCCGGCUAACUUCGUGCCAGCAGCCGCGGUAAUACGAAGGGGGCUAGCGUUGUUCGGAUUUACUGGGCGUAAAGCGCACGUAGGCGGACUUUUAAGUCAGGGGUGAAAUCCCGGGGCUCAACCCCGGAACUGCCUUUGAUACUGGGAGUCUUGAGUUCGAGAGAGGUGAGUGGAAUUGCGAGU
rnacentral:rRNA from 1 species